ACGAACGCUGGCGGCGUGCUUAACACCUGCCAGUCGAACGGAAAGGCCCUGCUUUUGUGGGGUACUCGAGUGGCGAACGGGUGAGUAACACGUGAGUAACCUGCCCUUGACUUUGGGAUAACUUCAGGAAACUGGGGCUAAUACCGGAUAGGAGCUCCUGCUGCAUGGUGGGGGUUGGAAAGUUUCGGCGGUUGGGGAUGGACUCGCGGCUUAUCAGCUUGUUGGUGGGGUAGUGGCUUACCAAGGCUUUGACGGGUAGCCGGCCUGAGAGGGUGACCGGCCACAUUGGGACUGAGAUACGGCCCAGACUCCUACGGGAGGCAGCAGUGGGGAAUAUUGCACAAUGGGCGGAAGCCUGAUGCAGCAACGCCGCGUGCGGGAUGACGGCCUUCGGGUUGUAAACCGCUUUCGCCUGUGACGAAGCGUGAGUGACGGUAAUGGGUAAAGAAGCACCGGCUAACUACGUG
rnacentral:rRNA from 1 species